GCUGGACAUGGUGGUGCAUGCCUGUAAUCCCAUCGGUUUAGGAGGCUGAAGUAGGAGGAUUGUGAGUUCACAGUUAGCCUCAGCAACCUAGAGAGGCCCUAAGCAACUCAAGAAGACCCUGUUUCCU
rnacentral:sRNA from 1 species